rnacentral:rRNA from 1 species
GGAGCUUGCUCCUUUGAGACCGGCGCACGGGUGCGUAACGCGUAUGCAAUCUACCUUGUACAGGGGGAUAGCCCAGAGAAAUUUGGAUUAAUACCCCAUAGUAUUUUCAGAUGGCCUCAUUUGAUUAUUAAAGUUCCAACGGUACAAGAUGAGCAUGCGUCCCAUUAGCUAGUUGGUGUGGUAACGGCAUACCAAGGCAACGAUGGGUAGGGGUCCUGAGAGGGAGAUCCCCCACACUGGUACUGAGACACGGACCAGACUCCUACGGGAGGCAGCAGUGAGGAAUAUUGGUCAAUGGGCGCAAGCCUGAACCAGCCAUGCCGCGUGCAGGAUGACGGUCCUAUGGAUUGUAAACUGCUUUUGUACAGGAAGAAACCCUCCCUUGUAAGGGAGCUUGACGGUACUGUAAGAAUAAGGAUCGGCUAACUCCGUGCCAGCAGCCGCGGUAAUACGGAGGAUCCAAGCGUUAUCCGGAAUCAUUGGGUUUAAAGGGUCCGUAGGCGGUUUUAUAAGUCAGUGGUGAAAUCUGGUCGCUCAACGAUCAAACGGCCAUUGAUACUGUAAGACUUGAAUUACUUGGAAGUAACUAGAAUAUGUAGUGUAGCGGUGAAAUGCUUAGAGAUUACAUGGAAUACCGAUUGCGAAGGCAGGUUACUACGAGUAUAUUGACGCUGAUGG